rnacentral:rRNA from 1 species
UUAUUCCAUGCAAGUCGAGCGAGAACCGGUUUCGGCCGGGGAAAGCGGCGAAAGGGUGAGUAAUGUAUAGAUAAUUUGCCCUUAAGUGGGGGACAACAGUGCGAAAGUGCUGCUAAUACCGCAUAAGGUUACUUAAACGCAUGUUUGAGUAAUUAAAGCAGGGGAUCGAAAGACCUUGUGCUUAAGGAGAAAUCUAUAUCCUAUUAGCUAGUUGGUGGGGUAAUGGCCUACCAAGGCAUCGAUGGGUAGCCGGCCUGAGAGGGUGAACGGCCACACGGGCACUGAGACACGGGCCCGACUCCUACGGGAGGCAGCAGGAAGGAAUAUUGGGCAAUGGGCGCAAGCCUGACCCAGCGACACCACGUGGAGGACUGAAGGCUUUCGGGUUGUAAACUCCUAACACAUAUUAUGAAAGUCAUUUUUGCUAAUACCAAGAAUGAUGUGACAAAGGUAUGAGAUGAAGUCAUGGCUAACUCUGUGCCAGCGGCCGCGGUAAUACAGAGAUGGCAACCGUUGUUCGGAAUUACUGGGCUUAAAGAGCACGUAGGCGGAAACAUAAGUUGAUUGUGAAAGCCCCUGGCUUACCCAGGGAAUGGCAGUCAAAACUGUGUAUCUUGAGAUCGGUAGGGGAGAGUGGAACUCCUGGUGGAGCGGUGAAAUGCGUUGAUAUUAGGAGGAACGCCGGUGGCGAAAGCGACUCUCUGGACCGAGGCUGACGCUGAGGUGCGAAAGCUAGGGGAGCAAACGGGAUUAGAUACCCCGGUAGUCCUAGCCGUAAACGAUGGGUACUAAAUAGGGGGAUAAUUUAAUUUCUCUGUUGGAGCGAAAGUUUUAAGUACCCCGCCUGGGGAGUAUGGUCGCAAGGCUGAAACUCAAAGGAAUUGACGGGGGCUCGCACAAGCGGUGGAGCAUGUGGUUUAAUUCGAAUCAACGCGAAGAACCUUACCUGGACUUGACAUGUUAGGAUUAGCCUACUGAAAGGUAGGUGACACUUUUCGGAGCGGAACUAACACAGGUGUUGCAUGGCUGUCGUCAGCUCGUGCCGUGAGGUGUUGGGUUAAGUCCCAUAACGAGCGAAACCUUUAUCCUUAGUUGCCAGCGGGAAAGCCGGGGACUCUAGGGAGACUGCCCACGUUAAGUGGGAGGAAGGUGGAGACGACGUCAAGUCAUCAUGGCCCUUAUGUCCAGGGCUACACACGUGCUACAAUGGUUGGUACAGAGGGAAGCAAGACCGAGAGGUGGAGCAAAUCUCCUAAAGCCAAUCUCAGUUCGGAUUGAGGGCUGAAAUUCGCCCUCAUGAAGUUGGAAUCGCUAGUAAUCGUGGGUCAGCUAUACCACGGUGACUGUGUUCCCGAGCCUUGUACACACCGCCCGUCAAGCCACUGAAGCAGGGGGAGCCUGAAGUCACUGACCCAACCUUUCGAGGAGGGAGGUGCCCAAGGAAUCUUCUGUGACAGGGACUAAGUCGUAACAAGGUA